UACGGGGGGGGGCAAGCGUUGUUCGGAAUUACUGGGCGUAAAGGGCGCGUAGGCGGCCUGCUAAGUCGGAUGUGAAAUCCCUCGGCUCAACCGAGGAACUGCAUCCGAUACUGGCGGGCUUGAAUCCGGGAGAGGGAAGCGGAAUUCCUGGUGUAGCGGUGAAAUGCGCAGAUAUCAGGAGGAACACCGGUGGCGAAGGCGGGUCUCUGGGCCGAUACUGACGCUGAGGAGCGAAAGCGUGGGGAGCGAACAGG
rnacentral:rRNA from 1 species